rnacentral:rRNA from 1 species
GCUACACAUGCAGUCGAGCGGUAACAGAAAGUAGCUUGCUACUUUGCUGACGAGCGGCGGACGGGUGAGUAAUGCUUGGGAACAUGCCUUGAGGUGGGGGACAACAGUUGGAAACGACUGCUAAUACCGCAUAAUGUCUACGGACCAAAGGGGGCUUCGGCUCUCGCCUUUAGAUUGGCCCAAGUGGGAUUAGCUAGUUGGUGAGGUAAUGGCUCACCAAGGCAACGAUCCCUAGCUGGUUUGAGAGGAUGAUCAGCCACACUGGAACUGAGACACGGUCCAGACUCCUACGGGAGGCAGCAGUGGGGAAUAUUGCACAAUGGGCGCAAGCCUGAUGCAGCCAUGCCGCGUGUGUGAAGAAGGCCUUCGGGUUGUAAAGCACUUUCAGUCAGGAGGAAAGGUUAGUAGUUAAUACCUGCUAGCUGUGACGUUACUGACAGAAGAAGCACCGGCUAACUCCGUGCCAGCAGCCGCGGUAAUACGGAGGGUGCGAGCGUUAAUCGGAAUUACUGGGCGUAAAGCGUACGCAGGCGGUUUGUUAAGCGAGAUGUGAAAGCCCGGGCUCACUGGACUGCAUCGAACUGC